CCUACGGGUGGCUGCAGUGAGGAAUAUUGGUCAAUGGGCGUAAGCCUGAACCAGCCAAGUCGCGUGAGGGAUGAAGGUUCUACGGAUCGUAAACCUCUUUUAUAAGGGAAUAAAGUGCGGGACGUGUCCCGCAUUGCAUGUACCCUAUGAAUAAGGAUCGGCUAACUCCGUGCCAGCAGCCGCGGUAAUACGGAGGAUCCAUGCGUUAUCCGGAUUUAUUGGGUUUAAAGGGUGCGUAGGCGGCCUGUUAAGCCGGCGGUGAAAGUCUGUGGCUCAACCAUGGAAUUGCAGUUGAAACUGGGAGGCUUGAGUAUGUGUGAGGCAGGCGGAAUGCGUGGUGUAGCGGUGAAAUGCUUAGAUAUCACGAAGAACCCCGAUUGCGAAGGCAGCCUGCCGAACCAUGACUGACGCUGAUGCACGAAAGCGUGGGGAUCGAACAGGAUUAGAUACCCGAGUAGUC
rnacentral:rRNA from 1 species